rnacentral:ribozyme from 1 species
CUACAGAAAUGCGUUGAGAAAUCUUUGGAUUACCCAAGAAGUAUUUAGGGAUUUCAAAGUGUAUGAUCACGUGUCCAUCGGUGCUUUGGAUCCAAUGAGGAUGUUCAGUUCUCCAACUUAAAUAUAUCAGGAUUUUUAAAAAUAUAAUUC